rnacentral:rRNA from 1 species
UAGGGAAUCUUCGGCAAUGGGGGGCAACCCCUGACCGAGCAACGCCGCGUGAGUGAAGAAGGUUUUCGGAUCGUAAAGCUCUGUUGUAAGAGAAGAACGUGUGUGAGAGUGGAAAGUUCACACAGUGACGGUAACUUACCAGAAAGGGACGGCUAACUACGUGCCAG